GCCUCUCCGUUCUUUUUUUUCUCAUUUGAUUUUGCUUUCUUAUUCUUCUUUCUAGAUCUGCAACAGCAGCAGCACAACCAUUUUGGCAAGCAAUUACAUGUCUUCACUGGUGGCUUCUUCUUCACCAGGGCAUCAUAUCCAUAAAGUGCCUGCCUCCUAAAGACACAUCCAGUACCAACAUAUAUAGGUCCCUGGAUCCCAUCCAAUCCUUUCAUGUUGAUAUCAAAGAAUACAACAUUACGAUUGGAGUAUCUAUCAUGAUGAUCAAUCCCAUCAAAUCUNNNNNNNNNNGUACGUAACAGACUUGCUUUCCAGAUAUUGGAUCCAUCAUGAAGCACAUGGCUUCACGAAGUGCCUU
rnacentral:misc_RNA from 1 species